GUUGACCUCGGAUCAGGUAGGGAUACCCGCUGAACUUAAGCAUAUCAAUAAGCGGAGGAAAAGAAACCAACAGGGAUUACCUCAGUAACGGCGAGUGAAGCGGUAACAGCUCAAAUUUGAAAGCUGGCUCUUUUAGAGUCCGCGUUGUAAUUUGUAGAAGAUGCUUCGGGUGUGGCCCCGGUCUAAGUUCCUUGGAACAGGACGUCAUAGAGGGUGAGAAUCCCGUAUGUGACUGGGUGCUUU
rnacentral:rRNA from 1 species